CCGAUGUAGCUCAGCUGGCUAGAGCAGCUGAUUUGUAAUCAGCAGGUCGUGGGUUCGAGUCCCUCCAUCGGCUC
rnacentral:tRNA from 1 species